AUGACGAAGAAGGCCGCAAAGCGAGCUGUCGGUGAAGCAAGGGGUAGGGCGUAUGAGGGCCUCUACCAACGGUUAGGCACGAAGGAAGGUGAAAGGGACAUCUAUAAGAUGGUCAAGACCCGAGAGAGGAAGAUGAGGGAUAUUGGCCAAGUCAAAUGCAUCAAGGACGGAGCAGACCAACUCCUCGCGAAGGACGAGGAGAUUAAACAUAGGUGGCGGGAGUACUUCGACAAGCUGUUCAAUGGGGAGAAUGAGAGUUCUACCAUUGAACUGGACGACUCCUUUGAUGAGACCAGCAUGCGUUUUGUGCGGCAAAUCCAGGAGUCUGAGGUCAAGGAGGCUUUAAAAAGGAUGAAAGGAGCCAAGGCGAUGGGCCCUGAUUGUAUCCCCAUUGAGGUGUGGAAAGGUCUCGGGGACAUAGCGAUAGUAUGGUUAACCAAGCUUUUCAACCUCAUUUUUCAGGCAAACAAUAUG
rnacentral:rRNA from 1 species